CGAGUUCGGACUGGUUUGGGCCAAGUUUGGAGCCCAACCAGUGAGCUGAAAUAGUGUAGGCGGUGGCACCGCCAGACUAGGCGGUGGCACUGCCCAGAGCCUAAAGUAUCAGGUGGUGGUACUGCCGGACUGGGCGGUGGCACCACCCAGAACCCAAGAGUUCCGGUGGUGGCACCGCCAGAACUCUGUCAAUGUUGAAAUUGAUAGGUGGUGGC
rnacentral:lncRNA from 1 species